rnacentral:rRNA from 1 species
AUGAACGCUGGCGGCGUGCCUAAUCCAUGCAAGUCGAGCGAACAGACGAGGAGCUUGCUCCUCUGACGUUAGCGGCGGACGGGUGAGUAACACGUGGAUAACCUACCUAUAAGACUGGGAUAACUUCGGGAAACCGGAGCUAAUACCGGAUAAUAUAUUGAACCGCAUGGUUCAAUAGUGAAAGACGGUUUUGCUGUCACUUAUAGAUGGAUCCGCGCCGCAUUAGCUAGUUGGUAAGGUAACGGCUUACCAAGGCAACGAUGCGUAGCCGACCUGAGAGGGUGAUCGGCCACACUGGAACUGAGACACGGUCAAGACUCCUACGGGAGGCAGCAGUAGGGAAUCUUCCGCAAUGGGCGAAAGCCUGACGGAGAAACGCAGCGUGAGUGAUGAAGGUCUUCGGAUCGUAAAACUCUGUUAUUAGGGAAGAACAAAUGUGUAAGUAACUAUGCACGUCUUGACGGUACCUAAUCAGAAAGCCACGGCUAACUACGUG